CCCGCUGGAGGCCCCACCGGAGCGAUAGGGGGUGGAGGUGGGAGCAGGGAAGACCCCUCAGCCCCUCCCGAGUCCCCCUCAGGUCUCAGACGUUCUUUCCAUGAGAGCUGCUUCACUCAAAAUUACCCGGUGUUGGAACACUUUCUGCACGUGUCCUAUGAGUGAGCUGCUGUGGUGAAACAUAUUGAAGACUUGACCAUCUUGCUAAGUGGGGCCCAAGCCAUCGAAACGCGUCGAAGUCCUGCUGGCAUUGUUGCAACGAUAAUUUUAAAAUCUAUUGAUAUUAACACACGUAAUCUGCUGAGCUUUGGCACAUUUAUCCAGUACCUUAAAGAUAGUGAGAAAAAAAUGAAGUUGACUUUUAGGAGUUUGGACACAAGUAAUGAUGGACUGAUUGAUACUUCAGAAAUUAUAGAUGCUCUCAACUUAAUACGUACAUAUAUUUCUGAAAAAAGAGGCCGUGAAGAUUCGUGAAAGGUCAGUCUGUAUAUAUGUAUAUACAUUUUGAAGUUAUUUUUUAUUUUCUUUAAAACCCUUUUCAUUAUAAAAGUGACAGCUAUGGAAACUUUGGGGAAAUGUGAAUAAUAGCUUAUAAUUAUUGAGCACCUGUUUGCUAGCACUCUUCUAAGUACUUCACGUAUUUUUUGUUGUUGUUAAAGAUUGGCAGCUGAGCUAACAACUGUUGGCAAUCUUCUUUUUUUUCUGCUUUUUCUCCCCAAAUCCCCCCAGUACAUAGUUGUAUAUUUUAGUUGUGGGUCCUUCUAGUUGUGGCAUGUGGGAUGCUGCCUCAGCAUGGCCUGAUGAGUGGUGCCAUGUCCAUGCCCAGGAUUGGAACCAGCGAAACCCUGGGCCGCUGAAGUAGAGUGCGCGAACUUAAUCACAUGGCCAUGGGGCAGGCCCCAAAGCACCUCACAUAUUUUAUCUCUUUUAAUCCUCACAAGAUUUUAGAGGCAAAGUCUACUAUUUUCCCCAUUUCACAGAUGAGGAAAUUGUUGAAUAGUAGAGUUAAGUAACUUGCCCAAGAUCACCAUAAUCCACUACCCAUAUGUUAACCUACUGAUAUAAUUUUAGUGCAUAUAUUUCUUGCUUUUUGUAAGAUCAUAUACUUUUAUAUUAUUAGUCAGUCAGUCAGUCAACCAAUCAAUCAAGUUAUCUAUCAAUCAAAUAUUGACUGAUCGUUUUUGCCAGGCACGUGGAAGCCAAUGAGGAUUCAAUGGUAAACAAGAUGGUCCUGGUGCCUGCCUUUGCAGAACCAACAGUCCACGGUUGGGGAUUGGGGGAGUACAAACAGUAAGUGGGCAGUUGCAGUGUGGCAAAGGUUAUGAUAAGGAUGUAUAAGAAAACAACAAGGAAAGCUAUCUUUUAUCCAGAAAGAGUACUGAAUUUUAUCAAACUGUACUGCUUUUUUCAUCUGACCUAUUUAUAUAAUGAAUUAUAAUAAUAGAUUUUCUGACAUCAAACAUUCCUGGGAUAAGGCUAACUUGUUGUGAACUUAUGAAUUACAGCAAAACAUACAGAACAAUAGAGAAUAACAUAACAAACAACAAUACCAUCCCUGGGUUUGUCAUAUUUAACGUUUUGUCAUAUUCAGUUCAGAUUUUUUCAAAUGAAUAAAAUAUUAUAGACAGCUGACA
rnacentral:lncRNA from 1 species